rnacentral:piRNA from 1 species
GAGAGGAUAAGAAACUGCCUCAUGGUAGCCUC